AUUUGUUUUGUUCGCGGUAAUUUUUUUGCUACUCUUCGGGAUCGUGUGGCAAAAAACUGAAAGUUCUCUGUGCUGAAAAGGAGCAGCACCAGUACUCAGGAGCUCAACAACAGCACCGGCAAACUGGUACGCGAAAGAUUGAAACACCCGCACCAGCUCUUCCGGAUAAGGCAACGAAAAUGCCCAAGAAAAUAUCAGCAUCGCGACUACCGAGGCAGUACCGGAAAUCAUUGGACGGUUGUUUCAGUGGUUGUUUGUUACAGGUUAUGGCUGCCCGCAUACUAAAAAACCAUAUCUCAAACAGUCUAUACGAUACAUCUACGGCUUCAGAAACAGUGAUUUUCUUUGGAAACGUAGCUGUUCAACUAAACUUUACUUCGACAACGAUAAAAACAAAAUAUGAACGAUUAUGGGAAAAAUUGAUGGUAUCUGAAAAGGUAAUAGAAUGGUAUAAACGAUUUCCUUUCAUAUUGUCUUUAAUCGUAUGAAUGAUUUCGAACCGUUACCCAUAUCGUUCAUGCAUAAUGUCAAAAUCAGAUCAAGAAUGAAAGAAACGCCGAGCAGAGAUGCCAACUGGUUUAAGACAACAAUCUUUACAUAUUUAUUUUUUUUGUCAUCUUGUUUAUUCUGAUAAGACUCUAUUCUCUCUCAUUCACGUCUCACGUUCCGAUUGUUGGUUUUAUUACAUCUGCUCUCCGCUUAAAAAGUGCCCGUUGGUGUUGCAAAACUUACCUGGCGCAUAGUUAGCUGUUCCCAUCUUGGUUCGUUGGAUCUGAGGCCCAUCAUCCGUCCGGAAUACACAUGCAGGACAUCCCAUCGGACACUCUAACUGGAUUUUGGUGCAGUACACGCUCAUUUUUAUUUAACCAUUUAUGGUUCAAAAAUAACCAUUUUAUGGUUUUAGCCUCAAAACUGCCAAUAUGGUUAUUUUUUAAGAAUUUUUACAGCUACAAAAUCAACCAUAAUUGAAGUUUUCGAGAAGUAACCAAAUAUGGUUAAAAUCCGAUAGGAAAUCUCCGCCAUUUUAUUUUGGAAGUGGACAAUGGCGAAGAUGUACGCGUAAGUCUUUUUUAAUCCAAGGUUUAAUCAAGAUUUGGAUUCCACCGGAUUUGAUAAAUCUAAUGUCCUUCGACUGGAGAAUGCGAACUCUACUGAAAGGAAAACUGAACGAAUCUUUAUACCGUCUUCUGUUUCGUCGUCAGCUUUCAACGGAUUGACGUUUCUGAUAGUAUCGGACACCCUGCUUGGGCUCAAAAACAUUUACAGAAUCGGAACGGGCACGCAUAAAAGAAAACCGGCAGCAAUCCUUGAGCCUCCGUCAAUCCGCGCUAACCGCACCUCCCACCGGAUGGUGCCACCACCGGAGACCGUGGUCGUCGUUACCAAAGUCUACAGAACCAAGUUCAACGACAGCGGUGGUGGUUUUUUGACCGAGCAAAGCACCUUCCCGGAUCGCAAGGAAGAUGCAAUUUCGUAUCGAUGAGAAGAACAUUUAACCGGGAGCUAUUCCGGUUCCGAUAGAGAACGACAAAUUUAUGUACAACAUCCACAAUGGCAUCGAUUGAUAUUCCUGAGAAACUCCGUGUACGGUACCAUGAAAUUCCGGUACUGGAGAAGGAUAAAACGAUAAUUCCGAGAUGGACGACCCGUUCGAUCAGCUGACCUGUUCGCAUGGCGCUCCGGAUUGAUGCUACCCAGCUAUGAUUCCAGUCCGACACCACUGCAGUUUGCCACCCGCUGGAACUCAACUUCAGCAGAAACAUUCAAAAUAUUUCUACCACUCCCGGCACUUUUAUGGUUUUGAUGCCGUGGAGGAAACGGAGUAGUUCUUGUUCAGAGUGAAAAUUGUACAUAUGCAUGUAUAACAAUUAAGAAAUCAAAUAAACAUUAUGAAAACUCGAAUUAUUUCUUAAUUUAUUC